rnacentral:piRNA from 1 species
UGGGAUGGCAGGGUGAAAGGCCAGCAUC